UGUCUCUUGCACUCUUUGCAUGAUUUUUUGCUCACAAGAGUGACAAGUACACAUGUAUAGUGAUCAUUCAAAAGUUAGUUGAUUUUAUCACCUAGUUUUUUCUUAUUAAUGUCAUCUAUGACUCCAUCCCUUGUUAUAAAAAGCUCUUCCUUCAUCAGGCAGAGAUGCUAGUUUUAUGCGGUACAUUUCUUCAAAAUUUGGAUAUUGCUUUUUUUUUUCUAGUUCAGUUAAAAGCUGCCUACUAAUUUAAUAGGUGUUACAUUUUCCUGACAAGAGUUAGUUCUAAAAUACAUGCUGCUUUGGUAGCUGUUAUUUGUUGGUAAAUGAGGAUUACCAGAUGCAUGAUGCUGCAAAUGGAAAAUUUGCAUAUGUGUGUGUGUAUCGGCUUUCAAGGUUCGCCUAUCCUGAUCAGUGUUUCUCCGAUCAUCUACAUAUCAGUUGAGAAACCCUCAUUAGAUGAGGGCCUUGAUAUCAUCUUUUAGCUUAGGCACUUGGUAUCAUGCCCAUGAUCAUUGUGGAUUCAGCAGUAUCUGCUCGUGCCUCUCUUCUCAGCUGAGGCCUUUAUUUUUCAAGGCCAGCACAGAUAUCUCUAAUCUCAAAUUUCCAUAAAAAUUUGAGAUCUUUGAGCAUUAAGAGGCAUGUAUCUCUCGAACUUCUGAGGUGGAGUCCAAGGUCGUGUGGUGCUUCUAUCUUCUCGGCUAUGCUUUUUCCUUAGCUCGUCUUCUUCAUGGCUCUUGUACUUCUUGCCGCUUUUCCCUCUCACAUCCUCUUUUUGAGUAGCUAUGGCUUCCUCAGUACAGGUGUACUUAUUUGUGUGGGAUAGGAGUUCAGCCAAGUCCAUGGGAGGAGGCCUUUUCUCCAGCAAGAAGUUGAAGCAUGAGGCCUUUGAUUGGUUCAUUGCUGCAGCUACUAUGAUGGAGUGAUCUAACUCGUGUCCUUCCAGCAUCUCAACAUUGACUGGCUGAUAUAGCUUCAGGAGGAUUUAUCUUCUUUUUACUUGGUGGCAAACAGGCGAAGUUUUCCUCUGCCUCCUGCUGAUGAAGUGGCCAAUGAAUUGGCAGCUGAGCUGAUCAAAGGAUUCGAUCGAGCUAGUCGAAUGGUUGAGUACUAGAGCUGACCUAUCUUUCUGAGAGUGGUUGGGAAGGCUCAGUACAUCAUGGCAUCAGUUGCUCCUAAAAGUAGCAUGAGAGCUCUGAAUCUGUCAACAUGGUCCAUUAGAUCCGUGAUACCAUUGUAAUGCUAAAAUUGAGCCAUCUUGAACUUUCGGGCCUUGAUCUUGUUAUACAUUCGAUCUUAUGAUCGAGGUUAGCCUUCUACCUGGAGACAUUUUCACACCAGCACGAAGAGGAGUCGCCAAAGCUGGAACUAGUUUUGGAGGGGGAACUAGAGCGAUCAUGCCUCUGACCCUUGUCUUGGCCCUUGGGGUGAGGAUGGCUACGAUUUGGCACCAUGUUGCCCUAGUGGUUCAAUUAGCUAGAAGUGGGAUUGAUGAUCCAUUGUUGCAUGUGGUUGAACUGUCCAGCAUUGAUAGCUCUCAUGAUUGGUUGAGGGGGUAGAGAUCUUAAGGAGCCAUGCAAGGAGCCAUGAGACUCUAUUUGGGCAGCUUCUUGAUAGUUGUUCCUUUUGAGCUUCAUGGCUUUUCUACUUUUAUUCCCGUAGAUGGCACCAAUGUGUUGUUGCCGAUCCUCGGAUUGUUGACUUAGUUUGCUUCUAUGGAUCUAUCAGACAACAAACGAGAUCAAAGGAUUUGCUAGAUUUGCUUUGGCUGGACCGUCCGAUGCUUAAGUCAAAGAAGAUUUUUUGAUGGGAGAUAAGGAAGAAAAUAGAGAGAUGGAAAGAAUAAGGAGUUUAAUAUUAAAGGUCGUAAUAAUGCUGGUAUGGGGAAUUCGCUCUCAAGGCAUGUAUUAGAGGACUCAUGCCUUUCUUGUAGGGGUUCAUGGCCUAUUUAUGGAUGGGAUCUCGAUUCUUUUGUGAAUAGUAUCUUAACAGCUUGGAGUCAUGCUAUAACCAUCUGGGAUUGCAUUGUAACCAUCAGAAGAUUUGACGUAACUGUGGGAGGCUGUUAUAGUAAUCUUCAUCUUUGGCUUGAUGGAGGGAAUGCCUUUCCACUCAAGCUAGGAAGACCGCCAGCUGAGGUGAUAGGAUUCAGGUCGGCUUGGAAAGAGUGCUGAGCUGGAAGAGUAUCCACCCUAGCUAUGGGACUUUGCAUCGGGUGACAUGCGACCUUUGAGGUCUGCUGGUCUGCUUGUCCGGCUUCUUGGCUUGCCCGAGGUAGACUUGGUUUAGUCAUGCUGGACACCACAUCAGUUCCGAGUUGGACCAAUCAGGUCAUGCCAUGUCACUAAGUUCAUUUUCCACCAUAACAAUCAACACACGCACGCAUGCAUACAUACUAAAAACUGGAUGAAGCAACCUGCAGCUGAUUGAAUUCUGUAAGAACUGUGUUUUUUUCUUUUAAAAGAAAAAAAUCUCCAGCUAUGGAGAUCAUUGUGAAAAGGACUCAUUAUAGGCAUGAAUCAACUGUAAGAUCUUGAAGUGUCCAAGGAAUACCUUCAUUGGAGUUUGCAUCUGGAUUUUUUGAGUUCCCUGUAUGUACAAGGCUAAACAUAUGGUGUUAUUCGUAUGAACAAUAUGUGACUGCUUGCAUGCAGUGCCAUGAAAAGCACCUUUUUGUUUGCCUUUCUUUAUGCUUCAUCCAGUUUAUUUAACACUGAAGUAUCAGAUUUAUAUGCUUCCUUUCAAUGCCAAACAUUUUCAA